rnacentral:ncRNA from 1 species
AUUAACGCAAUGAUGAAGAGUAGUAAUGCUUACACCUUUUCAAGAGAGCCGGUGGCUGGUGUAAACCGGUAAAGCGUAAGUAUGAAUGGACUUCUGAGCACCUGUCUGAAUAAAGUAGGCACAGGCGUUUCGUCAGCGAUAGAGGACGGCGGAGACAAAUCGUCCCGCAACGAGUGGGUUUCUUAAUGAAAUCAAUGAAGGUGGUACCACGGGCUUCCCGUCCUUUUU